rnacentral:tRNA from 1 species
GCCUCGGUGGCUCCAAGGCGAGAGCGCUGGUCUACGGAUCCCCUAUUGGCGGGUUCGAAUCCCGGCCGAGGUG